rnacentral:piRNA from 1 species
UAAGGUGCAGCUCGGGCAGCCUAAGG